rnacentral:rRNA from 1 species
GUAGUCUCGCACAGAUGCAUAUCAAUAAGCGGAGGAAAAGAAACUAACAAGGAUUCCCUUAGUAACGGCGAGUGAAGCGGGAAGAGCUCAAAUUUGAAAUCUUCAAGGUUUUACCUUGACGAAUUGUAGUUUAAGAGAAGUGUUUUCUGUUGAAGUUUUGGUAAAAGUUCUUUGGAAUAGGACAUCAUAGAGGGUGAGAAUCCCGUAUUUGACCAUUAUUUUCAGCUGUGUGAUACACUUUCAAAGAGUCGGAUUGUUUGGGAAUGCAGUCCAAAAUGGGUGAUAAAUUUCAUCUAAAGCUAAAUAUUGGCGAGAGACCGAUAGCGAACAAGUACCGUGAGGGAAAGAUGAAAAGAACUUUGAAAAGAGAGUUAAACAGUACGUGAAAUUGUCAAAAGGGAAGCGUUUGACACCAGUGUUGUUUUCUCGAAAAUCAAUUAAAAAGAGUUAGAUUUUGUUGUGUAUUGACCUUAACAGCUUGCAUUUCAAUUUUCUUGCUUUUUUUAAUGCACUUAUCGUUUAACAAGUCAACAUCAGUUUCUUUUGUUGUAAAAAGGUCAUUGGAAGGUGGCUUUCUUUUCGGAGAAAGUGUUUAUAGCCUUUGACUCCUGCAAUCGGAGAGACUGAGGUCUGCAGCGUAGAUCCUUCGGGGUUAGAUACAUUUGUGCUAAGUUAUAGCUUUUUAUAGACAACUUGUUGACUAUGAUUAGUCUUGUAGCUUACUCGCUUAUGCUAUUUUACCUACGCUUAGGAUGUUGAGCGCAUGUCUCUCUCU